rnacentral:misc_RNA from 1 species
GAUGAAGAACGCAGCGAAAUGCGAUAAGUAAUGUGAAUUGCAGAAUUCAGUGAAUCAUCGAAUCUUUGAACGCACAUUGCGCCCGUCAGUAUUCUGGCGGGCAUGCCUGUUCGAGCGUCAUUACGCCCCUCAAGUCCCCUGUGGACUUGGUGUUGGGGAUCGGCGAGGCUGGUUCUCCAGCACAGCCGUCCCUUAAAUUAAUUGGCGGUCUCGCCGUGGCCCUCCUCUGCGCAGUAGUAAAACACUCGCAACAGGAGCCCGGCGCGGUCCACUGCCGUAAAACCCCCCAACUUUUUAUAGUUGACCUCGAAUCAGGUAGGACUACCCGCUGAACUUAAGCAUAUCAAUAAGCGGAGGA